UUUCUCUUCCCCCAUUCUUCACGCCAUUUCCCUUCUCUCUAUUCCUCUCUCUCGAAAAUUCUCAAUUCCGUCGCCUUCACCAACAAUCGGGUUCCGAUUUCCCCCAAAUCCCGUCGCCUUCCGUCGCUGCUCACCGCCGUCGUCCCAUCCCGUCGAGGCCGCCAUCGCAGUUGUUCCUUUGUCGAUUAAUCGCCGAUGCCGGGAGGAGUUUCGCUGCAGGCGCUGAUGUCGUCGCUGCCUCGCGAACCCCGUCCCGGUUUCAGACCGGUGUCACCGCCGUCUCGCCCAAACGCUGCUGCUCGCCGACGGGGUCAGGGCCACCCCCGCUGUUCCACAACAGAAACUGCCGCUGCAGCGAGAAGGGAGGACGGUCGCCGCUCCGCCGCUGCUCUGUUCGGUUGCCCCCGAAACACUCCAAAUCAGCCCCGAACAGACACCGCGCAGCCCCGAACAACUCCAAACAGCCCUGAAACAUCCCGAACCCAACCCGAACAGCCCCACACAACCCCGAGAGAUAAGUUCUCUUUUACAAACUUAUGUUCUUUUUCGCAUUUUCGAUUAAUUACGGGGGGGUGUUGGAUUGUUUGAGAAUGAUUGAUUUGUUUGAUCGGUGUUACUUGUGUGGGAGAUUGAUGUGUUGAUGAUAUGCUAUGUAUAACAAAGAUCACAAGGGAAGGGAUUUAUACCUUCUAUGCUAUGAACUUGACCGUGAGGUUUGUAGGCUGAAAAGGGAGACUCCUUGAACUUGGCAGAUUAAAUUUCACAUCUGGAAUUGAAUUGAGAAUUUGGCAGCUCUUCAAAUUCUCGCUUUCUGUCGUGAAUCCGUGACUUGUAGUGAAUUAAAGAUGGAAGAUGAAGAAGUUUGAAAUUGGAGAGUCUCCAUAGAAGGGGUAUCGGCCAAGAGGGAGAAGGAAGAAGAAAAGGAUUUUGGGCUUGCAAAAGAAAUUCUUUGAAGAAAUUGGGCUCAAAAUCUAUCUCCCACAUUUUAUUUAUUUGUUGAAGUUCAUAGGCCCAAAAUGAUUUAUUUUGUUGUAAAUAAAUCAAGCCCAAAGCCAAAUUGUAAAAAUAAAACAUUGGACUUUCUUUAUAUUUAUUUGGAUCGGCCCAAGUUCUUAUU